GACAGAGGUGCCAAGCGUUAGGCGGAAUCACUGGGCUUAAAGCGUGUGUAGGCGGAUUCCUAAGUACCUUGUGAAAUCCCACGGCUCAACCGUGGAACUGCUCGGUAUACUGGGUAUCUUGAGCCACUUAGGGGCGACCGGAACAAAUGGUGGAGCGGUGAAAUGCGCAGAUAUCAUUUGGAACGCCAAUGGUGAAAACAGGUCGCUGGGAGUGUGCUGACGCU
rnacentral:rRNA from 1 species